rnacentral:rRNA from 1 species
ACGCUGGCGGCGUGCCUAAUACAUGCAAGUCGAACGGUCUUUUCUAUGGAAGCUUGCUUCCACUGAGAAGAUAGUGGCGAACGGGUGAGUAACACGUGGGUAACCUGCCCAUAAGAGGGGGGAUAACGUCCGGAAACGGGUGCUAAUACCGCAUAGUUUUCUUGAUCGCAUGAUCGGGAAAGGAAAGACGGCCUUUGUGCUGUCGCUUAUGGAUGGACCCGCGGCGUAUUAGUUAGUUGGUGAGGUAACGGCUCACCAAGACGAUGAUACGUAGCCGACCUGAGAGGGUGAUCGGCCACAUUGGGACUGAGACACGGCCCAAACUCCUACGGGAGGCAGCAGUAGGGAAUCUUCCGCAAUGGACGAAAGUCUGACGGAGCAACGCCGCGUGAGUGAAGAAAGGUUUUCGGAUCGUAAAACUCUGUUGUCAGAGAAGAACAAGUUGGAGAGUAACUGCUCCAGCCUUGACGGUAUCUGACCAGAAAGCCACGGCUAACUACGUGCCAGCAGCGGC